GCAUGCACUAAGUGUAUGCUUUUCGUGAGUGUAAAAAGCUCACGGAAUAAGGGCUGGGUAAGACUGGUGCCAGCCGCCGCGGUAAUACCAGCGGCCCUAGUGGUGAUCGUUUUUAUUGGGCCUAAAGCGUCCGUAGCCGGUUCGGUAAAUCUCUGGGUAAAUCGUUGGGCUUAACCCAACGAAUUCUGGGGAGACUGCCGAACUUGGGACCGGGAGAGGUCGGAGGUACUCCAGGGGUAGGGGUGAAAUCCUGUAAUCCUUGGGGGACCACCGGUGGCGAAAGCGUCCGACCAGAACGGGUCCGACGGUAAGGGACGAAGCCCUGGGUCGCGAACCGGAUUAGAUACCCGGGUAGUCCAGGGUGUAAAACGCUGUGCGCUUGGUGUANGGGGUCCUACGAGGGCAUCCUGUGCCGGAGAGAAGUUUUAAAGCGCACCGCCUGGGGAGUACGGUCGCAAGACUGAAACUUAAAGGAAUUGGCGGGGGAGCACAGCAACGGGAGGAGCGUGCGGUUUAAUUGGAUUCAACGCCGGAAAACUCACCAGGGGCGACUGCCACAUGAAGAUCAAGCUGAUGACUUUAUCUGAUUGGUAGAGAGGUGGUGCAUGGCCGUCGUCAGUUCGUACCGUAGGGCGUUCUGUUAAGUCAGAUAACGAACGAGACCCUUGCCCUUAAUUGCCAUGUUUCCCUCCGGGGGAACGGUACUUUAAGGGGACCGCUGGUGCAAAAUCAGAGGAAGGGAAGGGCAACGGUAGGUCAGUAUGCCCCGAAUCCCCUGGGCAACACGCGCGCUACAAAGGCCGGGACAAAGGGUUCCGACACCGAGAGGUGAAGGUAAUCCCGAAACCUGUCCGUAGUUCGGAUCGAGGGCUGCAACCCGCCCUCGUGAAGCUGGAUUCCGUAG
rnacentral:rRNA from 1 species